GUGGGGAAUCUUGCGCAAUGGGCGAAAGCCUGACGCAGCCAUGCCGCGUGAAUGAUGAAGGUCUUAGGAUUGUAAAAUUCUUUCACCGGGGACGAUAAUGACAGUACCCGGAGAAGAAGCUCCGGCUAACUUCGUGCCAGCAGCCGCGGUAAUACGAAGGGGGCUAGCGUUGCUCGGAAUUACUGGGCGUAAAGGGCGCGUAGGCGGACAGCUUAGUCAGAGGUGAAAGCCCAGGGCUCAACCUUGGAAUUGCCUUUGAUACUGGCUGUCUUGAGUUUGGGAGAGGUGAGUGGAACUCCGAGUGUAGAGGUGAAAUUCGUAGAUAUUCGGAAGAACACCAGUGGCGAAGGCGACUCACUGGCCCAAUACUGACGCUGAGGCGCGAAAGCGUGGGGAGCAAACAGGAUUAGAAACCCCGGUAGUCC
rnacentral:rRNA from 1 species